ACAAACAAAUUGUAAAAGUAAAUAACACAUAUUAUUUAAACUCUUUAGACAUCUAACAACCGCCAAGCGUUAGGUGUCUUUUU
rnacentral:antisense_RNA from 1 species